CUUUCUUCUUCUUCUUUAUUCCUUCUUCUCUUUCUUUUCUCCCUGCUCUUUUUCUGCCGACGUUUGAGAAGUGAGUUUGAGAUUCGGUUUGAGAGAAUCAAUUGAUGAGGAUAUGCAGAGGUUGAAGGUGAUGGCGCUGUUGUAAGUUGGGAAGAGAACAAUUAGUAAUCGAAGAUAUUAAUCAAGGGAAUUACAGUUAGGGUUUGUAAAACUAGUUAACUGAGUUCAUAUGGAACUGAUAGGGUAAUUAGGUUUCUGCUAGAUGAAGAAACAAUGGGUUGAGGCUUAAUUACAGUUCUGAAGUCUUUUUGGAGAUGAUCAAGAGUUAGGGUUAUGUUCAUCCCCAAAACAGAUAUUAGGGUUCUUGCAUGCAAUUAAAUCAAGUGGCUGAAACUAGAGUUGAGGUUUUGGGGGAGAGAUUAGAGAUGGGUAAAUGUUCAGUUGAAGUUUUGAAGUGAAUCCAGUUAUGAAUAAUAGAAUUUUGGUUAGGAUUUCUGUAUUAUCUUUUGGAACUUGUUUUGGGUAAGGAUUAAGAAGAAAUUAACAGAUGGGUUUGUUCUUAAUUGAUGAUGGUUAAAGCCAUGAGCCGAGGGAGAUGAAUUAAUCAAAGAAUAGAGAUGUUGGUGUUGAGGCUAAUUAAGUUCAGAAAGAAGCUUCUAUGAGGUAAUUAUUCUUAUCUUUAAUUUUAGUUAAGGUAUGCAAUUUCUGUGGUUGAGUUUGUGUGAUUAUUAAUGAAACUAAGAUUGGAAUGAGUUUGGCAUGAAGUUGUGGAUGAAAUUUAGAUUAUAAUUGAGUUACAGGGGAUAACUGGUGGUGGUGAAUCUUAAGAAGAUGUCGAGUAUGGUUGUUGUGUAUGUUGUUGAUUCAUGAUAUACUCUCCCAGGCGGAUGUAACUGAGUGUGUUGGUGGUUUGUCUAGUGAAUUAUAGCCAAUUCUGCUCAGACUUGCAGGGGAGUUAGAUGAAUAUAUUUUGAAUUGGUGUGUUUUGAUGGUGGUUCUGUAACGGUCGGCGUAGAUUAUGGUUGUGGCUAUGUAAUGUUUGAUGUAUUGUUGAGAAUAAAUGUGGAUAAUGGAUUGAGUUUGUAUGAGUAUAGGUAAUGUUGUUUGUGUUGGCUUUGAACUGUGGAUAGCAGGCGGUGGAAGUUAACUGUGUGGGUAGUUUGAAGAUGAUUGUGAGUGAAGGUUUAGAGUUGCAGUCACAACUCAAGAGCUGUUGGUGGUUUAGAAUUAGUGUUCUGUGACCAGAGAAUAAUGAAGAUGGGUGAUGUGGAGUAGAGAAGAUAAGGUUGUGGUUGUUUAGGAAUUACUGUGGUGGAGAUUAUAGUUUGGAGUUGUAUUCAUUUACAGGGAGGAGAGUUGUAUUAUAUAGAACUGUUGGAGUUAGUAAUGGUAGCUGGAGAUGGUGUUGUUUGUGAAGAUGAAGUAAAUGGGUUUGAAUGGAGCUGAAAUAGGUGCACUAUUGGUGGUGGAGAGUAUGGUCUCAACUGAAGUGCAAAUGGAGUCAUACUGUUUUGGUAUUGCUGAAAUUGGAAAUACAAUUUCUGGUUUGAAAUGGAGUUGAACCUCUCUUGUAAAAGCUUGGAAAAGCUGCAAUUGCAGUUUCAGAGACAGAUCAGAGUUGCGCAGCGGAAGCUUCGAAGAGUUGAUUUCAUUAGUUGGAUAACUUCUACUAUGUUUAUUAUAUUGCAUAUUGUAUCUGUAAACCUAGUGACUAUUGUAUAUAUAUAUAUCAUUUGAGAGGACUUCUUGUAUAUAUAUGUUUCAGAGCGGGUUAGUUUUGGGUUAAGUUUUGUAGAACAUUUCUUAGUUGAAUGAUUAAGUAUAUGAUUUAGAUUUCUAGUGCCUCUAUUUUUAGUUAAUCUCUUGGAUUAGUCAGCUGCUAGCUUUGGGGGCGCUACAGGAACCUUAUAGGAACACCAUAAUACAAGAUUCACAUUUUUAGUUGCGAAAUUAUGAGAGCAAUGAGUAUUAAACCUUACAAAGUGAUCCAGGAAGAGGCUAUGCAACAAGAAGAUGUUGUGGAAGCACAUGCAACAACUGAUCAUCAAGCAACUGGUGUCGAUCCUACCAAUGAGUCUGAGGAACAAAGGGAGCAAGAAUAAAAUGACGGGGAAACUUCAUUACUAACAUGAGUUUCCAUAUAUAAGUAUUACAGCUAGAAAUACGCCAAAAAUUCUGCAAGAUCAAACAACCAGAGAGAAGGGAAAAACACCUUCUAGUACCAAUGUUGUUGAUGAGGCGCAGAUUGAAUCCGCAAAAGCUGGUGUUGUGGAUGAGGUGCAGAAGAAAACCGCGGAUCAAGAAAACAAACCAGCAUGUGGAGAUGUAACUACAAAUGCUGAUGACUAGUUUCUAGAGAAACCCACGGAUGAAUAGACACCUGUACUUUUGAUGACAGUUUGCAGAUGACUUCUUCAACUCAGCCAACACAGUUUGAUGAAUCUUUGGUGGUAACUGCUACAACUCAGCAAACUCAGAGUGACAAUCCUGAGACCUACAGGUUGGUGCAAUUAAAACCUAACCUAUGUGAUAUGACGGAUGUUGAGGUAAAUGAAGUAGUAGAUGCGGUCGUCAGCGACAUCAACCAAGGUGUAGAAAAUUCUGAUCAUGGACCUGUAGAGAUGGAGAAUGCAGAACCUACCUCCACUGCUAAAACACAGGAAAACAUUGGUAGUGAUCCAUUAAAUUUUAGCCUUGGCAUAGAUAAAACUCCAAAACCUGUAGGAGAACUAAUCAAGGAAGUUUCGAAUAGACUAAGAGAAAGCCAACCAGGAUUCGUACACCAACGCGUGCUGAGGAAUAGAAAAAUUCAAACACAAGAUCUGAAACUGUUUGAAAGUAAGGCAAAGAAGAUUAAAGACUGCUAAUGAAGAAACAAUGGCCGCAGUCCAAGAAGUAAAAGAAGAAAGAAUCACCGCAGUUCCAUAAGUAGAAGAAGAAAGAAUGGCUGAGGUUGCUGAAGAAGAUGAUGGGACAAUGAGAAAGAAUGUGAAAGGUUUCCCAGUGAUCGAAAGGCUGGAUGUCGAGAAAAAGAAGAAAGUGCUUGAAUAUUUCAAUACUCAUCCCACAACAGACAUUCCUUGGAUGGAAUUCAAAGACGAUGGUAUCCCGCUCUUUGAUAUAAGCAGAGAACUAAUGCUCCAACUUACCAAUAAAGAAGCCUACUUGGAGUCAGAAUUCCUUGACUUCUAUAUUAGCAGGUUGAGGACAAAGAUGAACUUAAACCCCAAAUAUGAGAAAGAUAUAUUCCUCUCCCCGAAAGCAUACGUAAGUACUUCGAAAAAAUUUAAAAUCUUCUUGCAUUUAUAAUGUGUAAUUGGUGUUGUAAGAUUAUGAUAACAUGCUCGGAUUUUUUAAUGUUGGCAAAGUGUGAUGUGUCACCUGAGGUUACAUAUGCAUUUAUAAUGUGUCAUCUGAAGUUACACAUCCAUUUAUAAUGUGUAAUAUUUUUCAAGUGUAAAACUCGAGGACUUAUGUGUAACUUCUGGUUACAUAAUCACUUGUGC